AUUGAACGCUGGCGGCAGGCCUAACACAUGCAAGUCGAGCGAGCGGCGGACGGGUGAGUAAUGUAUGGGAAACUGCCUGAUGGAGGGGGAUAACUACUGGAAACGGUAGCUAAUACCGCAUACCAUCAGAUGAGCCCAGAUGGGAUUAGCUAGUAGGUGGGGUAACGGCUCACCUAGGCGACGAUCCCUAGCUGGUCUGAGAGGAUGAUCAGCCACACUGGGACUGAGACACGGCCCAGACUCCUACGGGAGGCAGCAGUGGGGAAUAUUGCACAAUGGGCGCAAGCCUGAUGCAGCCAUGCCGCGUGUAUGAAGAAGGCCUUCGGGUUGUAAAGCACUUUCAGCCGGGAGGCGUUACCGACAGAAGAAGCACCGGCUAACUCCGUGCCAGCAGCCGCGGUAAUUC
rnacentral:rRNA from 1 species